GAUGAACGCUAGCGGCAGGCUUAACACAUGCAAGUCGAGGGGUAUUGGUUUUCGGACCAAGAGACCGGCGUACGGGUGCGUAACGCGUAUGCAAUCUACCUUUGCAGAGGGAUAGCCCAGAGAAAUUUGGAUUAAUACCUCAUAGUAUAGUACUUUGGCAUCAAGGAACUAUUAAAGUCACAACGGCAAAAGAUGAGCAUGCGUCCCAUUAGCUAGUUGGUAAGGUAACGGCUUACCAAGGCUACGAUGGGUAGGGGUCCUGAGAGGGAGAUCCCCCACACUGGUACUGAGACACGGACCAGACUCCUACGGGAGGCAGCAGUGAGGAAUAUUGGACAAUGGGCGCAAGCCUGAUCCAGCCAUGCCGCGUGCAGGAUGACGGUCCUAUGGAUUGUAAACUGCUUUUAUACAGGAAGAAACACUACUUCGUGAAGUAGCUUGACGGUACUGUAAGAUAAGGAUCGGCUAACUCCGUGCCAGCAGCCGCGGUAAAGU
rnacentral:rRNA from 1 species